rnacentral:rRNA from 1 species
AGCGAACGCUGGCGGCAGGCCUAACACAUGCAAGUCGAACGAAGUCUUCGGACUUAGUGGCGGACGGGUGAGUAACACGUGGGAACGUACCUUUUGGUUCGGAACAACUCAGGGAAACUUGAGCUAAUACCGGAUGAGCUCUUAGGGGGAAAGAUUUAUCGCCGAAAGAGCGGCCUGCGUUAGAUUAGCUAGUUGGUGAGGUAAAGGCUCACCAAGGCUACGAUCUAUAGCUGGUCUGAGAGGAUGAUCAGCCACACUGGGACUGAGACACGGCCCAGACUCCUACGGGAGGCAGCAGUGGGGAAUCUUGCGCAAUGGGCGAAAGCCUGACGCAGCCAUGCCGCGUGAAUGAUGAAGGUCUUAGGAUUGUAAAAUUCUUUUACCAGGGACGAUAAUGACGGUACCUGGAGAAAAAGCCCCGGCUAACUUCGUGCCAGCCGCCGCCGUAACAC